rnacentral:rRNA from 1 species
GACGAACGUUGGCGGCGUGCUUAAUACAUGCCAGUCAACUGAAGCAGUGGUAGCAAUAUCGCUGUGGAGGUGGCGCACGGGUGAGUAACACGUAGGUAAUCUGCCUUCAGGUCUGGCAUAACUCCGGGAAACCGGGGCUAAUAGCAGAUGAUGCAGCGGCUCGACAUCGAGACAGUUGUUAAAGCUAUGGCGCCUGAAGAUGAGCCUGCGUCUGAUUAGCUAGUUGGCGGGGUAACGGCCCACCAAGGCAACGAUCAGUAGCUGGUCUGAGAGGAUGAUCAGCCACACUGGAACUGAGACACGGUCCAGACUCCUACGGGAGGCAGAAGUAAGGAAUAUUGCUCAAUGGGAGAAAUCCUGAAGCAGCAACGCCGCGUGAGGGACGAAGGGCUUUUGCUUGUAAACCUCUGUAGUGAGAGAAAAAAAUCCCAAUCUUUGGGACAUGAUGGUAUCUCAAAAGUAAGCCCCGGCUAACUACGUG